rnacentral:pre_miRNA from 1 species
AUGUGAAUCACAUAGGGAUCUUGUUAAAAUCAAAAUUCUCAAUUCAGAUUUCUGGGGUGGGGCCUGAGAGUUUUAAUUUCUAACCAGCUUACAGUUGAUGUCAAU